rnacentral:sRNA from 1 species
AUUUCUAAAUCGCUGAAGCAAUUAUACGCGGGGGACCCAAUUUUUACGGAUUAUAAGGUAAUCCUUGGGGUGAAUCUCUUCAUUUAUUGAGGGGUAGGGCUACUCAGGCCCGAAUCCGACAGCUAACCUCGUAAGCGUUAAGAGCAGAAAA